GACGAACCGUGCGAACGUUAUUCGGAAUCACUGGGCUUAAAGCGUGUGUAGGCGGAUCGGUAAGUACCUUGUGAAAUCCCACAGCUUAACUGUGGAACUGCUUGGUAUACUGCCAGUCUUGAGCCAGCUAGGGGCUACCGGAACAAAUGGUGGAGCGGUGAAAUGCGUAGAUAUCAUUUGGAACGCCAAUGGUGAAAACAGGUAGCUGGGGCUGUGCUGACGCUGAGACACGAAAGCCAGGGGAGCAAACGGG
rnacentral:rRNA from 1 species